rnacentral:lncRNA from 1 species
UGCAACCCACAGAAGUGGCUCCAGGGGAGCUGUAGCACAAGUUCCAGAGGCCCCAGGAACAGUUUCCACCUCCUCUUUCCUGUGCCUGGCAUACAUCUGGCCUCUGCCAUACCAGGUGACACCAUGUCUCCUCCAGUCAGUAUAGUAUCUUAGUGUGUUCUCCUGAGAGGGGCUGCCUGGAUAAACUGACAUCUUUAGGCAGAGGUAUUCUGACCCAGGACAGAAGGAGAGGACUCCUUGAGGCGUCUGGGCACUCCUACAGGAAUGCCCUUCAAGGCACUGGCUUUCGUUUCCAGAGAACUUCAAGGGACGUCUCUCCUGACAUAAUGGGAGCAGAGUCCUUUCAUCCAGCUGCCUCGAGCAGCCUCCUCCUCCUCUCUUUCCAGGGAAGAGGAAGUCUGUGUUUACUGAGUGUGUGCAUGGACUGCCUUCACAGUCAAGAUUAUCAACUGUGUUGGAUGGCGAGAAGACCCACAGAGAAAAAACAUGGCAGGGGACAUGGAGAGGUGCACAGCAUUAAAUUGGUGGUCUAAGGAGGAGAGAUUCCAGGUAGUCCUGAAAGACAGUGGGACCCAAUGCCUGGAGCCCUGCUACAGUGCGCUUGGGUCCUGCCCUGACUUCCCUCAACGGCAGACUCUCCCUGGAACGUGAAACAAACCAUCUUCAGGCACCUUUCCUCCCAGGCUGGACCCCUGGAAGCAAGAAAGCCAGCAAAGCCCUCCCAGUCCCGGCUUUCCUCAACAGUCGCGCUGGCCCGGGAAUUACACGGC